UGAUUGUGGAUGUUUUGUGAAGCCGACAGUAUCACUCCGCUUGAUCUCCACUAUCAGAACAAUUUGUCUUCCUCAUAUAUAAGAGAGAAAUAUAAUAAGAAAAACGCACCACAACUGAUAUGGCACUAUGUGGCCACAACUUUCAUACUGUUUCUCUUCCACAUUUGCUUAUCGACAAGAAUACAUAUGUGAUAUGUCCAAGACUAGAAGUAUGAAGAAGCUAGCCGGUUUCAGUUUUUGGCCCACUAAUGUCUGUUUGGUUUUGUGUCUUCUCUCUCCCCUUUACCAUGAAACUUCAAACAGCCACCCCACAAAUUUUAUAUAAUUUUCUAAUGAUCAUUAUCGAUUCUCUUCCAACAUGUUUUGCAAGUCUCAAUAGGA